GAUGAACGCUGGCGGCGUGCCUAAUACAUGCAAGUCGAGCGAACAGACGAGGAGCUUGCUCCUCUGACGUUAGCGGCGGACGGGUGAGUAACACGUGGAUAACCUACCUAUAAGACUGGGGUAACUUCGGGAAACCGGAGCUAAUACCGGAUAAUAUAUUGAACCGCAUGGUUCAAUAGUGAAAGACGGUUUUGCUGUCACUUAUAGAUGGAUCCGCGCCGCAUUAGCUAGUUGGUAAGGUAACAGCUUACCAAGGCAACGAUGCGUAGCCGACCUGAGAGGGUGAUCGGCCACACUGGAACUGAGACACGGUCCAGACUCCUACGGGAGGCAGCAGUAGGGAAUCUUCCGCAAUGGGCGAAAGCCUGACGGAGCGACGCCGCGUGAGUGAUGAAGGUCUUCGGAUCGUAAAACUCUGUUAUUAGGGAAGAACAAAUGUGUAAGUAACUAUGCACGUCUUGACGGUACCUAAUCAGAAAGCCACGGCUAACUACGUG
rnacentral:rRNA from 1 species